rnacentral:rRNA from 1 species
GUAGGUGGCAAGCGUUGUCCGGAAUUAUUGGGCGUAAAGCGCGCGCAGGCGGUUCUUUAAGUCUGAUGUGAAAGCCCACGGCUCAACCGUGGAGGGUCAUUGGAAACUGGAGAACUUGAGUACAGAAGAGGAAAGCGGAAUUCCACGUGUAGCGGUGAAAUGCGUAAAGAUGUGGAGGAACACCAGUGGCGAAGGCGGCUUUCUGGUCUGUAACUGACGCUGAGGCGCGAAAGCGUGGGGAGCAAACAGGGAUUAGAUACCCUGGUAGUCCACGCCGUAAACGAUGAGUGCUAAGUGUUAGGGGGUUUCCCGCCCCUUAGUGCUGCAGCUAACGCAUUAAGCACUCCGCCUGGGGAGUACGGCCGCAAGGCUG